rnacentral:rRNA from 1 species
UACGUAGGGUGCAAGCGUUGUCCGGAAUUAUUGGGCGUAAAGAGCUCGUAGGCGGUCUGUCGCGUCGGAUGUGAAAUCCCAGGGCUCAACCCUGGGCCUGCAUUCGAUACGGGCAGACUAGAGUUCGGUAGGGGAGACUGGAAUUCCUGGUGUAGCGGUGAAAUACGCAGAUAUCAGGAGGAACACCGGUGGCGAAGGCGGGUCUCUGGGCCGAAACUGACGCUGAGGAGCGAAAGCGUGGGGAGCAAACAGG